GCGCAUGCUUACAGUUCCAUAAAUGGAAGAGUUGGAAAACUAUUUUAAAAGCAAAAUAGAUCUGGGAACAGACAGGGCUACACUAGAGCAGAGGAAAUCCAGACGGGUCGUUCCCAUCUGCCCUGGGGCCUGUCUCUACAACUCUGCCACACUC